rnacentral:misc_RNA from 1 species
GAUGAAGGAACGCAGCGAAAUGCGAUACGUAAUGUGAAUUGCAGAAUUCAGUGAAUCAUCGAAUCUUUGAACGCAUAUUGCGCUCUCUGGUAUUCCGGAGAGCAUGCUUGUUUGAGUAUCAGUAAACACCUCAACUUCCAUAUCUUUUUUGAAAUGGGAGUUGGACUUGAGUGAUCCCAACGCUUUUCCUCACCGAAAAGUGGCGGGUUACUUGAAAUGCAGGUGCAGCUGGACUUUUCUCUGAGCUAUAAGCAUAUCUAUUUAGUCUGCCUAAAAAACAGAUUAUUACCUUUGCUGCAGCUAACAUAAAGGAGAUUAGUUCUUGUGCUGACUGAUGCAGGAUUCACAAAGACAGGCUUCGGCCGACUUUGUAAACUCGAUCUCAAAUCAAGUAAGACUACCCGCUGAACUUAAGCAUAUCAAUAAGCGGAGGA